UCAAAGCAGAGGCCUACCAGCCCACGACACGACAAGCUUCGGUUGGUUGCCUUGCCUCGUCGUGUCUCCCGUUCCCCCACCUCUCCAACCGCGGCAAUUGCAGAACCGGAGAGCUCCGGGUUCCUCCGUUCCGAAAUCCGCCGAAUCCUCCCGAGCCCCCGAGCCCCCGAGCCGGCCGAUCCAUUGCUCGCCGCGAUGGAGUCUCAGCACGCCUCCAGGGGCCGCCGCACCCUGGAGGAGAUCCGGCAGAAGAGGGCAGCCGAGAGGAUGCAGCAGCAAACGCCCGCCGCGACCGCGUCCCACGGCGACCCUCACGGGAACCAAAGAGCCGCGGCAGAGCUCCUUGCACGAGUUCAACAACUUGAAAAUGGGAACUUGGAAUUGGAGAGGGAAAACCAAAUGCUGAUGUCCAAGUUUGCCGAGAAGGAAGUCGAAAAGGAUUCCCUGGUUAACCGAUUGAAUGACAUCGAGAAAAAUGUAGUGCCCUCGUUGAAAAAGGCUCUAAAUGACAUUUCAUUGGAGAAAGACGCUGCAGUUAUCGCUAAGGAGGAUGCUCUAGCGCAAGUAAGGAGCAUGAAGAAGCGGUUGAGAGAGGCAGAAGAGGAGCAGUACAGGGCAGAAGAAGACUCUGCAUCCUUGAGAGCGCAGCUCAAUACCCUGCAGCAGCAAGUAAUGAGCAACUCUUACAGUGGAUAUGCAGUGGGAACAUCAAGUGAGCAAACUCUUGCCAUGGAAAAGGAGAUACAGGAUUUACAAACUCAGCUAAAGCAAGAGUCACUGCUAAGGCAACAGGAGCAGCAAAAACUAGCUGAAGAGUCCCUACUGAGGCAGCAAGAUCAGCAAAGGCUAGUUGAAGAACAAUCCCGUACCACUUCUCUUGCGGCUGAAAAGCGAGAGAUGGAAGAGAAAAUUGCUGCAUUAACAAAGAAAUCUUCAGAAGAGGCUUCUGAAUUUGCUGCACGCAAGGCAUUUUCAAUGCAAGAUAGGGAAAAACUUGAAAACCAGUUGCAUGAUAUGGCUUUGAUGGUUGAGAGGUUAGAGGGCAGCCGCCAAAAGCUGCUGAUGGAGAUUGAUUCCCAGUCAUUAGAAAUAGAGAAUCUGUUUGAGGAGAACUCAGUCUUGUCAACAUCAUAUCAAGAAGCUAUGUCUGUUACGAUGCAAUGGGAGAACCAGGUUAAAGAUUGUCUGAAGCAAAAUGAAGAGCUUCGUCUCCACUUAGAGAAGCUAAGAAUUGAGCAAGCUAACCUGUUGAAAACAAAAAAUACUAGUGUCGAGCUAGAUGGCCAAAGUGAGACCAGCAUCCCACCAGAACUGGUCACAGAGAAUCUUUCUCUAAAGGAUGAACUUGUCAAAGAACAGAGCAGAUCUGAGGGAUUAUCGGCAGAGAUAAUGAAACUUUCAGCUCAGCUUAGAAAGGCAGUCCAAGCACAGAAUAACCUGACACGCUUAUAUAGACCUGUAUUAAAAGACAUCGAGGGUAAUCUGAUGAAAAUGAAACAAGAAACUUAUGCGACAAUUCUAUGAUUUUGCCGAGGUAUGAGUGCAAACCUCAGCAAUGACACCACUUGCACCACAAAUUGAUCGGUUUUUUUUUUUUUUGCUGUGUCUGCCUACCUUCAUUAGGCAGUUCUUAAUUUGUAGAGUUCAAUCAACAUUAUUGUACAUGUGUGGCACUGAUGUAUUUAUCAUUUAUGCGGAUGUAUUUUGUAAACUGCCUGAAAUGAUGAAAGGAAAAACCAGUAUACCAAUUGUCAGCCCUGUGGACAUUUAUUUAGCUUGCGCUGGAUCAUUUGUGUUUGCCUCGUGCCUACACAAACAUGUGCCUACAAAAUUAGUUUGCCUCGUGCCUAACUUUGCACCUUAA
rnacentral:rRNA from 1 species